GAUGAACGCUGGCGGCGUGCCUAAUACAUGCAAGUCGAGCGAACAGACGAGGAGCUUGCUCCUCUGACGUUAGCGGCGGACGGGUGAGUAACACGUGGAUAACCUACCUAUAAGACUGGGAUAACUUCGGGAAACCGGAGCUAAUACCGGAUAAUAUAUUGAACCGCAUGGUUCAAUAGUGAAAGACGGUUUUGCUGUCACUUAUAGAUGGAUCCGCGCCGCAUUAGCUAGUUGGUAAGGUAACGGCUUACCAAGGCGACGAUGCGUAGCCGACCUGAGAGGGUGAUCGGCCACACGGGAACUGAGACACGGUCCAGACUCCUGCGGGAGGCAGCAGUAGGGAAUCUUACGCAAUGGGGGGAAGCCUGACGGAGCAACGCCGCGUGAGUGAUGAAGGUCUUCGGAUCGGAAAACUAUGUUAGUAUGGAAGAACAAAUGUGUAAGUAACGAUGCACGUCUUGACGGUACCUAAUCAAAAAGCCACGGCUAACUACGUG
rnacentral:rRNA from 1 species